rfam:Piloderma croceum F 1598 unplaced genomic scaffold scaffold_00005, whole genome shotgun sequence.
ACACCUAGAUUAAGCUGAUAUCAAUUCUCUUCAGUCUGUUCUUAAUAGUUUAACCACUAUUAUGAAGGCACCGCCUUCAUUUCUGGUUAUCUUAUUUUUGCCGCCCUUGUCCUCCUGUGCUCUGCUUGCAACACGGGAGGCGUGAUGACCUUGGUAUUGCACUACCGCUUUGUGUCGUCGGGGGAUC